ACUCCGGUUCCUUCGUCCCAAAAUUCUUGUCACGGUAAUGAAUGUAUCUAGAUGUAUUUUAGUUCUAGAUACAUCUAUUCAUAUCUAUUUGUGUGACAUGUAUUUUUGGGCGGAGGGAAUAUAUG
rnacentral:pre_miRNA from 1 species